rnacentral:rRNA from 1 species
AGCAGCCGCGGUAAUUCCAGCUCCAAUAGCGUAUAUUAAAGUUGUUGCAGUUAAAAAGCUCGUAGUUGAAUUUCGGGGUCAGUAGAUUGGUCGUGCCACUGGUAUGUACUGGUCUUACUGGCUCCUCCUUCCUGAUGAACCGUAAUGCCAUUAAUUUGGUGUUGCGGGGAGACUGGACUGUUACUUUGAAAAAAUUAGAGUGUUAAAGCAGGCUAACGCUUGAAUACAUUAGCAUGGAAUAAUGAAAUAGGACGUUCGAUCUUAUUUUGUUGGUUUCUAAGAUUGACGUAAUGAUUAAUAGGGAUAGUUGGGGGGCAUUAGUAUUCAAUUGUCAGAGGUGAAAUUCUUGGAUUUAUUGAAGACUAACUACUGCGAAAAGCAUUUGCCAAGGAUGUUUUCAUUAAUCAAGAACGAAAGUUAGGGGGAUCGAAGACGAUCAGAUACCGUCGUAGUCUUAACCAUAAAACUAUGCCGACUAGGGAUCGGAUGAUGUUAAUUUUUUUAAUGACUCAUUCGGCGC